rnacentral:rRNA from 1 species
AACGUAGGAGACAAACGUUAUCCGGAGUUACUGGGCGUAAAGGGCGUGUAGGUGGUUUCGUAAGUCUGGCGUGAAAUUUUUCGGCUUAACCGGGAAAGGUCGUCGGAUACUGCGGAACUAGAGGACGGUAGAGGCGUGUGGAAUUCCGGGUGUAGUGGUGAAAUGCGUAGAGAUCCGGAGGAACACCAGUGGCGAAGGCGGAUCUCUGGACAGUUCCUGACGCUGAGGCGCGAAGGCCAGGGGAGCAAACGGG